GGAGAACAAACGACGGAAACAAACCUUCAAAUACCAUGUACAGCAAGCAGGCCAGAGAUUGAAUGUGUGCAAGGUCACUUUCAUGUCUGUGUUCCAGCUAACCAACAGCCGUCUUCAGUUGAGGAUCCUUGGAAUCUGUACGCCAGACAGAGCCACAGUCUAUUUGAGGGAUGGAAAUCGUGGCUGAUCUCCAAACCAAAACAAGGAGCUACACCUCAACCUCCCUAUUUUGCAAGCCACUACCCUAGAGCAUAUGAGAGUCCUCUGCCCAUCAAAAAAAACAAGUACCAAGAUCUGAUGACCAUGCUCAACUACUUGCCAGCUGCUGCACGCUCUUUUUAUAAAUCACUGCAGAGUGAAUAAUUUGAUGUUAAACCAAGCUACAUAAUUAACCGUUUUUUCUGUGAGUUUAUGAUCCCCUGAACCUGUAUAGUAUGUUGAAUCUGAAUACAUUUCAGAAAACAUGUCACCCCUAUUGUAGGAAUUUUCUAUGUGAA
rnacentral:lncRNA from 1 species